rnacentral:rRNA from 1 species
UACGUAGGGUGCAAGCGUUGUCCGGAAUUAUUGGGCGUAAAGAGCUCGUAGGCGGUUUGUCGCGUCUGCUGUGAAAACUCAGGGCUUAACCCUGAGCCUGCAGUGGGUACGGGCAGACUAGAGUGUGGUAGGGGGAGACUGGAAUUCCUGGUGUAGCGGUGAAAUGCGCAGAUAUCAGGAGGAACACCGGUGGCGAAGGCGGGACUCUGGGCCGAUACUGACGCUGGAGAAGCGGAAAAGCAUGGGGAGCGAACAGG